CUACGGGGGGCUGCAGUGAGGAAUAUUGCACAAUGGGGGAACCCUGAUGCAGCAACGCCGCGUGGAGGAUGACGCAUUUCGGUGUGUAAACUCCUUUUAUAUGUCAAGAAAAUGACGGUAGCAUAUGAAUAAGCACCGGCUAACUCCGUGCCAGCAGCCGCGGUAAUACGGAGGGUGCAAGCGUUACUCGGAAUCACUGGGCGUAAAGGACGCGUAGGCGGGUUGGAAAGUCAGGUGUGAAAUCCUACAGCUUAACUGUAGAACUGCACUUGAAACUUCUAAUCUAGAGUAUGGGAGGGGGAGAUGGAAUUAGGGGUGUAGGGGUAAAAUCCGUAGAUAUCACUAGGAAUACCUAAAGCGAAGGCGAUCUCCUGGAACAUUACUGACGCUAAGGCGUGAAAGCGUGGGGAGCAAACAGGAUUAGAUACCCGAGUAGUC
rnacentral:rRNA from 1 species